rnacentral:lncRNA from 1 species
AACACUUUUUGUUAUUUUAACAGGAUUUGUUAUUGAAAUAUUAUUAAUUUUGUUAUUACCGUCUGCCCGGGAUCUGGAUUUGCACAUCCAGAGUCUCCAUUUUAAGUUUUUAAGAGUUUUCUGCCAAGUUAACUCAAUGGAUUGUUUGACGGAGUCGGUGAACGUUAAACCAAGAAUUGUCAGUGAAUCUUGGAAGUUGAUCCAGGUAAGUACGCCUUCUGUACGCGGAUUCCCAAUUUUCAUUGCCGUUGUUUUCGUCAGAUUCAGGACAGCACCGGAUACCUCUUCGAACUCUCGUAUUCUAUUAACAGCUUCAGCCAAGUUGUUGAUGUCCCCGUCCACCAUGCUGAUAUCGUCUGCAUACACGUUCAGAAGACUCCCUGCUGCUCCAAUUGUUGCCAGCUUGUCGACCAGUGGUUGAAUGUACAGCACGAAUAGCAGCAUGCUCAGUGGGUCACCUUGCCUGACUGAUUUUCUGAUUUGGAACGAUCUGGACAGCUUACCGUUUAACAAAAUAUUUGAGAAGGAGUUGGCAUAGAUUUUCCUUAGAAGGUCGAUCAGCUGCGGGUUGCAGUUCAUCUGUGUGAGGGUGUAGUAGAGAAAGUCAUGCCUCACCCGGUCAAACGCAUGGUCCAUAUCGAAUGACACCAGCGUGGCUGACUGCCUUUUAUGUUUCAGUGAUGCAAUCUUGUCCAGAAUCUGUGUUGUGGCUUCAAAAAUGUUGUGUUUCCCGUUCGAGCAUUUUUGGUGUGGAAACAAAACGUGUUCAGCCAGCGGAAUCAUUCUGUUUUUUAUCACUCUCGUUAAAAUUUUGUAGUCAAAAUUUAAUAGAGUAAUUAGUCUGUACGCUUUCACUGUGUUUCCGCUCUGCUUCUUUUUGACGAGGACCACAACACCGUUCAUAAAAUUUGAAUCGGUAUCAGGGUUACGAAGAGCAUCAUUGAUAACGGAAGUGAAUUCUUGGCUGAUAAUGCUCCAUGUUUUGUAGUAGAAUUCCCGAGGCAGUCCGUCGUCUCCUGGAGAUUUCCUGGGACAACUGUUUUUGAUGCACAUAAAGAUUUCGUUUGCGUUCGGGGUUGCAAGAGGUCGUCGUUAGCUGCAACGUUGUCAGGGAUUCGUCUUGCUGGCUCAAAUCCUGCCACAGGUGACCGGUUUGGAGUGGCCGAGAAAAGGGUUUCGAAGUAAUUCACAAUGUUUUGCUCUAUUUCGGUUUCAUUGUUGAUAACAUUUCCGUCCACAUCCAGUUCACUUAUCGUCCUGCCCUGUCGAUUCUGCAUUUUCUGCGCUACGUGGAAAAGACUUGUAGAUUCUCCUUGUAGAUAUGUUUCAUUCAACAUACGACUUCUGUUGGAAUGUUCUCUUUGUUUCUGGAGCAUAAGUCCUUUAAUUCUGUUAAUCCGCACAAGCUGGUCAUUGUCAUUCAAGUACAGAUUGUAAGCUCUACUUAACUCUCCGUUCAAAAGCUUAAAUGUGUCACGAAAGUCACGGUACUGAAGAGACGAACGCCAUUUUAAAAACGACUUUAUUUUUGGCCACGUGUCGUGCAGUUCUCAGGGAAUCUCGGGUAGAUUUUGAGACGAGGAAACAAUCUAGACGGGAGCCACAUCCAGUGCGAACGAAGGUGAAAUCAAUGUCACGUGGGUUGAUACAACGGCAAACAUCGAUCAAAUUUAGAGCCAGCAUCAAUCGGGAAGUCAUUUCGCUCCGCGGAGUGCCACCGGUAGCGUCUCUGUCAUUCACAACGGAGUUAAAAUCUCCUCCGAGAAUGAUUGGUCCGGUAACGUUUCGAAGGUAAUGUGCACAGGUAGAAUUGAAGAAAUCCUCGCGCGCAUUUCUGUUCUGGCUCCCGGUUGGUGCGUAUUGUCGCUCUGGCACUAAAUCGAACUGAGCGAUUUCCACUCUCGCCGCGCUUUUUCUCUCCGCCUUUUUCUGUCUAGCCUAAUUCGGUAUUACUCGAUCAGUGUGUAAGCCAAGUUUGUUGUGAUUCCUCCAUCUUGUUUUGAUUGGCGAAAACUUAUGUCGAUGGAUUUUAGCUGAUUUAAUUAAAAACGAAAGGAAAUAUGUACUUUUUUUACUUGCAUAAAUGGCCAACAUCAUCAUCCAAAACCUACGACAACAACACGCAAGCACUGAUUCUAUUUAGUUAGACAAAAAAUGCGGAGAGAAAAAGUGCGGCGAGAGUGGAAAUCGCUCGUUUCGGUUUGGUGCCAGAGCGACAAAAUGUUUUUCAAUGACGUUUAACCUCGCGUUCAACACAAAUUAGAGUUGAUCAGUUUGCGGAGCGUAGUGUCAGAUAAGUCGCCGCGAAAAUUCGAUUUAUUUCCGAAACCACAAUAUAUGUUGCAGAGAGUUGUCUCGUUUCUUAAGCGAAUGACGAUUAGUCUACUAUCGAGAGAGUUUUCUGCUGUUACAUGCUCUACUCUGUUUCCAAGUGCUACUGCCACCCCUCUUCCGGUGGUCGAUAUUGAACAAAAUUGUGUAUCCAGGUAUAAUUAUUUGAUCAUUUUCAACCUCCUGCAGAAAAGCGAUAUCUAUUUCGUUUAUCCUUAGGGAGUUUUGAAGUGCGUCCAACUUUGUUUGGUUCGAAAUGUUGUUGAUGUUUAACGUUACCAAAUUAAAACUUUCAGCCAGUGCUUUUUUAAAAUGUUACUAUCGAAGAGGGGCUGGAGAUAUUAGCGCGACAACACAGAUGGCGCUGUUCUGAGCAAACCCAACGAGCAAUCUCACACACACAGUGAAAACUUUGCCGUUCCCGGUCUCUGCUUUUUUGUUUUUUGACAUCUUCUGUCAGGUUGCUUUGAGUGUCAGUGAUGUUUAUAAACAAUAUCGAUACGCUCACCUGCUCAGACGGUGUUAGCGAAGACAGUUGGUAUUCUCCAGAUAUCCAGUUUCUCUUCGUUGUCUUCAAGCGUUUUCUCGUCGUCGUGGCUCUCUUGUAACCCAGCAGUUUUUUGACAGGAGUGGCAGUAUCACUGAGCGCUUCGGCAAGACAUAUACCGGAGCGACUGGAGCCUUUUAUCUUUAGCGGUAUACGCACUCCGGAAGGAACCGGUCAAGAAAAAAUUCAAAUGGGCAGCAGCGGCAGCGCAAGCAAGUCAGAGAGGGUGAAGAAAAGCCCCAAGAAAUCGCUCCCUCUCCUUUGUUCUGCUGUUCGUAAAGCUGUUUCUUGACCCCUUUCCUUCCGAUCUGCAUACUAGCCUUUUACAAGAAGGAUGUCCAGCGAGUGGGAAAGCAACGUUGAGUGGCUGUGUAUCGGUGAGUUCUCUGUGUGAUCUCCAUUGAUGAUAAUUGAAUCUGAAUGACGCGUAAUUUUCAUUGAAAAAGGUGGCAGUAUCAGCUUCGGCAGGACAUAUACCGCAGCUGUUACCUUUGGAAGCUGGUGCGGGCGCUGGUUGAUAGCAAUCGGUGUUGGCAGUGUAUGGUAUCGGAUGAAUCUGCGAGGAUUUGAGACUUCUUGAGGACGGCAGUAUCUUGUGGAGCUUCGGCAGUACAUAUACAUUUGUGUUUGCUUACCCGUGGGAAAAGUAAUGAUGACGAAAUAAACUUGAUUUACUUUUUGGAGUU